UACGGAGGGUGCAAGCGUUAUCCGGAUUUACUGGGUUUAAAGGGUGCGCAGGCGGAUAUGUAAGUCAGUGGUGAAAUCUUCCCGCCUAACGGGAAAACUGCCAUUGAUACUAUAUAUCUUGAAUGCUGUGGAGGUAAGCAGAAUAUGUCAUGUAGCGGUGAAAUGCUUAGAGAUGACAUAGAAUACCUAUUGCGAAGGCAGCUUACUACGCAGAUAUUGACGCUCAUGCACGAAAGCGUGGGGAUCAAACGGG
rnacentral:rRNA from 1 species